rnacentral:rRNA from 1 species
UACGGUUACCUUGUUACGACUUCACCCCAGUCGCUGACCUUACCGUGGCCUGCUGCCUCUAAAAGUUAGCACACAGUCUUCGGGUAAAACCAACUCCCAUGGUGUGACGGGCGGUGUGUACAAGGCCCGGGAACGUAUUCACCGUGGCAUGCUGAUCCACGAUUACUAGCGAUUCCAACUUCAUGCUCUCGAGUUGCAGGGAACAAUCCGAACUGAGACGGCUUUUAGAGAUUAGCUCCCCAUUGCUGAGUGGCUGCUCACUGUCACCGCCAUUGUAGCACGUGUGUAGCCCAGCCCGUAAGGGCCAUGAUGAUUUGACGUCAUCCCCACCUUCCUCCGGCUUAUCACCGGCAGUCCCUCUAGAGUGCCCAACUUAAUGCUGGCAACUAAAGGCGAGGGUUGCGCUCGUUGCGGGACUUAACCCAACAUCUCACGACACGAGCUGACGACAACCAUGCAGCACCUGUCACCGGUCCAGCCGAACUGAAGGAAACCAUCUCUGGUAACCGCGACCGGGAUGUCAAAAGCUGGUAAGGUUCUUCGCGUUGCCUCGAAUUAAACCACAUGCUCCACCGCUUGUGCGGGCCCCCGUCAAUUCCUUUGAGUUUUAGUCUUGCGACCGUAGUCCCCAGGCGGGGUGCUUAACGCGUUAGCUGCGUCACCAAACAGCAUGCUGCCUGACAACUAGCACCCAUCGUU